AUAUAACUUAAGUUAUAAAUGUCUGAACUCUGAGUAUAAAUCAUCAAAGUUUGGUACAUAAGUUGUACACACAAUACUCAUAGCUACUUUUUCUUCUGAGAUGACUUUUUAACAUAUCACUAUAGAACCUAUCCUAUGUAGUAUACUUUCAUGUUUUCACUCUAGAAUAACCAAGCAUCCCAAAGAAGAAUCAAUAACACUGAUAUCCAACUGUUCUGCAACCUAAAACCUGAUGAAGAAGCAUAAUCACUAACCCCAACAAGAAAUCUGCACUCUCCGAUCGAAGGAUUCAAGAAAGUAACCAUCCCGAGCCCAUCAAAAUCACAGCUCCGCGGAUUCUGCUUUUGGAGCUGAUAGUAGCUGUUGAAUGCAUAUGAUAUAUUACCCUUUGCUCCAAUCUCGUUACACGAUCCUCCAUAGUUAAGGGUCGUGCAAUCUGCAUAACUACAAGCAAGUCUAACGUGGUUGGUUACUUCAGCAAGAUCUUUCAUAGGGUUUGCAAUACACCACCUAUAUGGAAGAUACUCAACAUCUUUUGCGUUCUUUAGUAGACCAUUUCCGAGGUUCAACGGAUAUUUCGACUGGCCAUCGAAGGAGAAAAUGCCCCAGUGUCUUUCAAAGUUACCCGGGAGCACACUUUUUGCACCUUCAUCGAGAAGACUGAAAAGAUAAACAUCCAUGGGGGGGACUUGUGGCCUAAGAGGAGUUCCUUUGUUACUGAGAACAUGAUUCACUAGGCCUUGGUUGAAGACCCUUGCAGCUGUAAGAUUAGCACCGAGGGCUCCA
rnacentral:misc_RNA from 1 species